rnacentral:sRNA from 1 species
UGUUAAGGAACUCAGAUUACGAACGCCGCGUCCUGCGGCAACAUCUGAGUGACCAACAUCCUGUUGG